rnacentral:lncRNA from 1 species
CCGUGCGAUUCUCUAAAAUUCAAACAAGAACUCGCAUCUCACUACGAAAUUCUCCAUCACUUCGCAUUCGCAAUAGAAUGACCUUGAUUUGGCAUUCUGUAAACACUAAUUUAAAUUACCCUGCCUCGAGCGAAGUGAAGUGACAACGAAGUUUGUUUACAAUACUACUAGGGAUAGCCGUAUACACGCAAAUGUAAAUCGAAGCUUACCGGUUUCAGUUUUUCUUUGUAUUUAGAAGCAUUCUGUAAGAAAAUACUAUGAAUUUAAGCUUUGGUGUCUAAACCACAUCUAAUAUAUCUAAAAAGAAAAUUAAAAGUCAUAUAUUUAUGAAAUUAAUUGUAAUUUCUGGCUGUACGCUAAGUUCCUUUGCGUGCACUGGCGAAUACCAGAAUUAAAAAACAAAAUUUUAAUUGUUUUCAAAACAAUUUCGAGCGGUCGGAAGUUUUUAUUUUGCUUUUUCUAGAUUUGUUGUUACUUUGUGAGUGAAUUUAACGUUAAAUAAAAAUUAUGAGAUUUAAAGAGCGUUCUUCUCAUCCGACAUUGGCGCAAAUAGAGGCAUUGAUAAACGUUUUGGGUUAAAAGCUAGCGAAACAAAAGGAUUAAUCGAAUCUCAACAUGUUCAAUAAGAGAACAAGGAUAUUAAAAAAAUAUAGGAACUAAAUUCUCUUGUCAGUUAAGAUCCAUUCCCGGAACUACAACAGAUUGAAAAUACUAAUCCACAUCAUCAGAAUAUUGUAAGGAGAAUUUAUAGCCAACUCGGAAAAUGUAUCAGUAUUGGAACAAUCGCAAACAUACAGCACCUCAACACCUGACCUGCUAUUUCACCACUUUUACAAUGAAAAGCAGAUUGUACUCAAAUUACUGAGAGAAUUUUGUGGAUAGAGGAACUGCAGGUGAAGAUUCAGGGUGUUCAUAUGUGUGUCGUCCAAAGCAUUUUUGAACACAGUACCAUAUAUAACUUAAUGAAACUUACAACCAUGGGGGAAUGAAUAGUCGACAAUCUGCAAGAAGGAUGAACUGUUGGUGGAAUUAGCAGAUGCAGCUAGCAAUUUUAAACCUGUAUUUCCACAUAAGUUACUGAUGCAAACAAAUUUCAAAACUAUUGUAUAUAACUAUUGAAUAAAACUAU